UGCUAAACUGCACAGAGUUUUACAAGUAUAAAACAUAAAAAGAUUUUUAUAAUGUCUAACCUCUUUCAAAUAAAAUUACUGUACAGACUUAAUUGCACUACGCUGCUCAAAAAUUCUAAAGCUCAAGUAUGCAAAUAAUCACACGCUGCACCCUUUUUGCAAUGCCCACUUUCAUGGUACUUGCACACUCUAUGCCCUUUGAAGGGAGGCCUAGAAGAGUCUCCCCUGCCAAAUGAUGACUGCCUAUUCCAUGGCUUACCUCCACCAUAACCGGUAUCUCCACCCUGAGAACCACCAUCCCUUUGGCUUGAGAAUCUGUCCCCAUUGUGGUUCUUUUCACUUCCACAUGACCCCACAUUCCCUGGAGAUGCUACCCAACUGGGAUUUGCAUUUCCAGGAGGUUGCCCUUGGCCAAGGGGUACCCAAGCUAAAUUGGCAUUUAUAGGUGUUUGCCCUUGGCCAGGUGGCACCCAACCUGGAAAUGCAUUUCCUGGUGCUUGACCCUGAACUGCAGCAGCCAAACCCAGAUUUGCAUUUCCAGGUGCUUGUGCUUGCCCAUGUGCAACCCAACCUGCGUUUGUGUUUGCAGGUGCUGGCAUCUGACCAGAUACAACCCACCCCUGAUUUGAAUUUGCAGAUACGGGUCCUCCCCAGCCCAUGUUCAGAUUUCCUGGAACCGACCCCCAACCAAUAUUUUGAUUUUCUAGCCCUUGUCUAGACGUAACACUUUGGUUAUCAUUAAUACUCACGCCCCAUGGCACAUUAGAUGGAGCAGCAGAAGGUUGAAUGUUUGGUUGCCCAGGCAUAGGACCUCCCCACCGGUCAGAUGGUGCCAAACCUGAAGCUCCUGGGGCGGUAGAAAUACCGCUCAGGUUGCCUGCAAUAAAGGAUGAAGCAGAAUUAUGGGCAGCAGCAGUUGAUGCAUCACCCCAGUUACCAUAAGCACUAGGUUGAGUAGACAUUGAAAUUGAAUUGUUCUGCUCUGGCUUCUGGGAUGGUUCACUUCCCCACACCUGAGAUCCACUACCAGUUAUUGCAUGUGAAGUAACUAUUUCAGGAUUGGAAACGGAAGCAGCCCCCCAUCCUUGUGUUCCAAUAAGAGUAUUAUUAUUAGUUACAGGCUGAACGAAAUUCUGGAGACCUUUCAUAUCAGUGACAGUAUUAACUGAAGCAACACCAGAAUCAGGUGCUGGAAGCAGAUGGGAAAUGACCUGUACCCUUGGUGAUUCACCAGACAAAGUUGAUUGAGAACGCAUCUGAGGAGAAUUUGCAGAAUUCAACAGUUUUAUUGAAUAUGGAGUUGAAGAAUGUGGCGAUUGGCUGAUUUCAGGGAUAACUAUAGCAGGGCGUUGCAGCUCCCCAUUACCACUUGGGAGUGAGUUAGCUCCCAAGAGAGAACCAGCAGGUUGAGCUGUGGUAGGUGACCAUUUGCUUUCAAAUGGUUUCCCCUUUGUUCCACUUGUGGCAGCUUGGGCCAGUGUCGGGGAAGGCAGAUUUGUCUCAGAACCCCACUUUUCUGUAGAAUACUUGGGAACAUCAAGGGAUGCUGAAGCAGCUCGAUCAAUAGAAUUACUAAUUUCAGGCUGAGGUUUACAACCCUCUUCUGCAAUUGUGGAAUACGAGGAUGAUAGAUGAGGACUGUGACUUUUCAGGAACCCGCUGUCCACCAAUGGAGGGUCUGCCUGGAAAUUUCCAACCAAUGCAUCAGUCAAAAGA
rnacentral:misc_RNA from 1 species